rnacentral:tRNA from 1 species
GCGGGGGUUGCCGAGAUUGGUCAAAGGCGCGGGACUUAAGAUCCCGUGGCAAAGGCCUUCCGGGGUUCGAGUCCCCGCCCCCGCA